ACGCUCGACACCUACGGGAAGCAGCAGUGGGGAAUAUUGCACAAUGGGGGGAAACCCUGAUGCAGCGACGCCGCGUGGAGGAAGAAGGUCUUCGGAUUGUAAACUCCUGUUGUUGGGGAAAAAGAGGAUGGUACCCAACAAGGAAGUGACGGCUAACUACGUGCCAGCAGCCGGGUAAUCUGAGCGGGCUGGCAAGGC
rnacentral:rRNA from 1 species